rnacentral:rRNA from 1 species
AGUGAACGCUGGCGGUAGGCCUAACACAUGCAAGUCGAACGGCAGCACAGUAAGAGCUUGCUCUUACGGGUGGCGAGUGUCGGACGGGUGAGGAAUACAUCGGAAUCUACUUUUUCGUGGGGGAUAACGUAGGGAAACUUACGCUAAUACCGCAUACGACCUACGGGUGAAAGCAGGGGCUCUUCGGACCUUGCGCGAUUGAAUGAGCCGCUGUCGGUUUAGCUAGUUGGCGGGGUAAAGGCCCACCAAGGCGACGAUCCGUAGCUGGUCUGAGAGGAUGAUCAGUCACACUGGAACUGAGACACGGUCCAGACUCCUACGGGAGGCAGCAGUGGGGAAUAUUGGACAAGGGGCGCAAGCCUGAUCCAGCCAUACCGCGUGGGUGAAGAAGGCCUUCGGGUUGUAAAGCCCUUUUGUUGGGAAAGAAAAGCAGCAGGUUAAUACCCCGCUGUUCUGACGGUACCCAAAGAAUAAGCACCGGCUAACUUCGUG